GGGCUGGGGCUCAAUGGCAGAGUGCUUGCCUUGAAUGUGUGAGGCUCUGGGUUCGAUCCUCAGCACCACA
rnacentral:tRNA from 1 species